rnacentral:sRNA from 1 species
CUUUAGCCCUGAUGGUAGUGAAAAUCCUUGUCCUCCGGGGUUCGGAGGAAAAGGGUUGUAGCGAACAGCAGGAACUAUG